GAAAAUAGCUCAGUUGGUAGAGCGCAACCUUGCCAAGGUUGAGGUCGCGGGUUCGAAUCCCGUUUUUC
rnacentral:tRNA from 2 species